AUACGUAGGGGGCGAGCGUUGUCCGGAAUGAUUGGGCGUAAAGGGCGCGUAGGCGGCGCGGUAAGUCUGGAGUGAAAGUCCUGCUUUCAAGGUGGGAAUUGCUUUGGAUACUGCCGCGCUUGAGUGCAGGAGAGGUUAUCGGAAUUCCCGGUGUAGCGGUGAAAUGCGUAGAGAUCGGGAGGAACACCAGUGGCGAAGGCGGGUAACUGGACUGCAACUGACGCUGAGGCGCGAAAGUGUGGGGAGCAAACAGGAUUAGAUACCCUGGUAGGCCGCGCCGUAAACGAUGGGCGCUCGUCGUCGGCGGCAGACAGUCGGCGGCCAAGCGAAAGCGAUAAGCGCCCCACCUGGGGAGUACGGUCGCAAGGCGGAAACUCAAAGGAAUUGGCGGGG
rnacentral:rRNA from 1 species